GACGAACGCUGGCGGCGUGCUUAACACAUGCAAGUCGAACGAAGAGCGACGGAAGCUUGCUUCUAUCAAUCUUAGUGGCGAACGGGUGAGUAACGCGUAAUCAACCUGCCCUUCAGAGGGGGACAACAGUUGGAAACGACUGCUAAUACCGCAUACGAUCUAACCUCGGCAUCGAGGAUAGAUGAAAGGUGGCCUCUACAUGUAAGCUAUCACUGAAGGAGGGGAUUGCGUCUGAUUAGCUAGUUGGAGGGGUAACGGCCCACCAAGGCGAUGGUCAGUAGCCGGUCUGAGAGGAUGAACGGCCACAUUGGGAAUGAGACACGGCCCAGACUUCUACGGGAGGCAGCAGUGGGGAAUCUUUCGCAAUGGACGAAAGUCUGAAGGAGCAACGCCGCGUGAGUGAUGACGGCCUUCGGGUUGUAAAGCUCUGUUAAUCGGGACGAAAGGCCUUCUUGCGAAUAGUGAGAAGGAUUGACGGUACCGGAAGAGAAAGCCACGGCUAACUACGUG
rnacentral:rRNA from 1 species